rnacentral:rRNA from 1 species
CCUACGGUGGGCAGCAGUGAGGAAUAUUGGUCCAUGGGCGGGAGCCUGAACCAGCCAAGUCGCGUGAGGGACGACGGCCCUAUGGAUUGUAAACCUCUUUUGUCGGGGAACAAAGGCGCCCACGGGUGGGUGGAUGAGUGUCCCCGAAGAAAAAGCAUCGGCUAACUCCGUGCCAGCAGCCGCGGUAAUACGGAGGAUGCGAUCGUUAUCCGGAUUUAUUGGGUUUAAGGGGUGCGUAGGCGGACAGUUACAUCAGAGGUAAAAAUGCGGUGCUCAACGCCGUACAGCCGUUGAAACUGGCAGUCUGGAUUGGGCGAGAAGUAUGAGGAAUGCGUGGUGUAGCGGUGAAAUGCAUAGAUAUCACGCAGAACUCCGAUUGCGAAGGCAGCAUACCGGCGCCCGACUGACGCUGAGGCACGAAAGCGUGGGUAUCGAACAGGAUUAGAUACCCGUGUAGUC